rnacentral:rRNA from 1 species
AUGAACGCUGGCGGCGUGCUUAACACAUGCAAGUCGAACGAAGCACUUUAACCUGAUUCUUCGGAUGAAGGUUUUUGUGACUGAGUGGCGGACGGGUGAGUAACGCGUGGGUAACCUGCCUCAUACAGGGGGAUAACAGUUAGAAAUGACUGCUAAUACCGCAUAAGACCACGGAGCCGCAUGGCUCAGUGGGAAAAACUCCGGUGGUAUGAGAUGGACCCGCGUCUGAUUAGGUAGUUGGUGGGGUAACGGCCUACCAAGCCGACGAUCAGUAGCCGACCUGAGAGGGUGACCGGCCACAUUGGGACUGAGACACGGCCCAAACUCCUACGGGAGGCAGCAGUGGGGAAUAUUGCACAAUGGGGGAAACCCUGAUGCAGCGACGCCGCGUGAGCGAAGAAGUAUUUCGGUAUGUAAAGCUCUAUCAGCAGGGAAGAAAAUGACGGUACCUGACUAAGAAGCACCGGCUAAAUACGUGCCAGCAGCCGCGGUAAUACGUAUGGUGCAAGCGUUAUCCGGAUUUACUGGGUGUAAAGGGAGCGUAGACGGCUGUGUAAGUCUGAAGUGAAAACCCGGGGCUCAACCCCGGGACUGCUUUGGAAACUAUGCAGCUAGAGUGUCGGAGAGGUAAGUGGAAUUCCCAGUGUAGCGGUGAAAUGCGUAGAUAUUGGGAGGAACACCAGUGGCGAAGGCGGCUUACUGGACGAUGACUGACGUUGAGGCUCGAAAGCGUGGGGAGCAAACAGGAUUAGAUACCCUGGUAGUCCACGCCGUAAACGAUGACUACUAGGUGUCGGGGAGCAAAGCUCUUCGGUGCCGCAGCAAACGCAAUAAGUAGUCCACCUGGGGAGUACGUUCGCAAGAAUGAAACUCAAAGGAAUUGACGGGGACCCGCGCAAGCGGUGGAGCAUGUGGUUUAAUUCGAAGCAACGCGAAGAACCUUACCAAGGCUUGACAUAUACAGGAAUAUUUAAGAGAUUAAAUAGCUCUUCGGAGUCUGUAUACAGGUGGUGCAUGGUUGUCGUCAGCUCGUGUCGUGAGAUGUUGGGUUAAGUCCCGCAACGAGCGCAACCCUUAUCUUCAGUAGCCAGCAUUUUGGAUGGGCACUCUGGAGAGACUGCCAGGGAUAACCUGGAGGAAGGUGGGGAUGACGUCAAAUCAUCAUGCCCCUUAUGAGCAGGGCUACACACGUGCUACAAUGGCGUAAACAAAGGGAAGCGAGCCUGCGAGGGUAAGCAAAUCUCAAAAAUAACGUCUCAGUUCGGAUUGUAGUCUGCAACUCGACUACAUGAAGCUGGAAUCGCUAGUAAUCGCGAAUCAGCAUGUCGCGGUGAAUACGUUCCCGGGUCUUGUACACACCGCCCGUCACACCAUGGGAGUUGGUAACGCCCGAAGUCAGUGACCCAACCGUAAGGAGGGAGCUGCCGAAGGUGGGACCGAUAACUGGGGUG